rnacentral:rRNA from 2 species
AGUUUGAUCCUGGCUCAGAUUGAACGCUGGCGGCAGGCCUAACACAUGCAAGUCGAGCGGUAACAGUCCUUCGGGAGCUGACGAGCGGCGGACGGGUGAGUAACGCGUGGGAAUCUGCCCAACAGAGGGGGAUAGCCCGGGGAAACUCGGAUUAAUACCGCAUAACGUCUACGGACCAAAGCAGGGGAUCUUCGGACCUUGCGCUGUUGGAUGAGCCCGCGUCAGAUUAGCUAGUUGGUAGGGUAAAGGCCUACCAAGGCGGGGAUGUGUAGCUGGCCUGAGAGGGUGGCCAGCCACACUGGGACUGAGACACGGCCCAGACUCCUACGGGAGGCAGCAGUGGGGAAUAUUGGACAAUGGGCGCAAGCCUGAUCCAGCCAUGCCGCGUGUGUGAAGAAGGCCCUAGGGUUGUAAAGCACUUUAAGCUGGGAGGAAGGCCUUGAGGUUAAUACCCUUAAGGAUUGACGCUACCAGCAGAAUAAGCACCGGCUAACUCCGUGCCAGCAGCCGCGGUAAUACGGAGGGUGCAAGCGUUAAUCGGAAUUACUGGGCGUAAAGCCCACGUAGGUGGCCUGUUAAGUUGGAUGUGAAACCCCUGGGCUUAACCUGGGACGUGCAUCCGAUACUGGCAGGCUAGAGUACGGUAGAGGGAAGUGGAAUUUCCGGUGUAGCGGUGAAAUGCGUACAGAUCGGAAGGAACACCAGUGGCGAAGGCGACUUCCUGGACUGAUACUGACACUGAGGAGCGAAAGCGUGGGUAAGCAAACAGGAUUAGAUACCCCCUGGUAGUCCACGCUGUAAACGAUGUCUGCUAGCCGUUGGAAUCCAUAGAGAUUUUAAGUGGGCGAAGUUAAACCCGAUAAGCAGACCGCCUGGGGGAGUACGGCCGCAAGGUUAAACUCAAAUGAAUUGACGGGGGCCCGCACAAGCGGUGGAGCAUGGGGUUUAAUUCGAAGCAACGCGAAAAACCUUACCAGGGCUUGACAUCCUCGGAACUUUGCAGAGAUGCGAAGGUGCCUCGGGAAUCGAGAGACAGGUGCUGCAUGGCUGUCGUCAGCUCGUGUUGUGAAAUGUUGGGUUAAGUCCCGUAACGAGCGCAACCCUUAUCCCUAGUUGCCAGCGAUUCGGUCGGGAACUCUAGGGAGACUCCCGGUGCACAAACCGGAGGAAGGUGGGGACGACGUCCACUCCCCAUGGCCCUUACGUCCUGGGCUACACACGUGCUACAAUGGUCAGUACAGAGGGUUGCGAACCCGCGAGGUGGAGCCAAUCCCGUAAAACUGAUCGUAGUCCGGAUUGCAGUCUGCAACUCGACUGCAUGAAGUCGGAAUCGCUAGUAAUCGCGAAUCAGAAUGUCGCGGUGAAUAUGUUCCCGGGCCUUGUACACACCGCCCCUCACACCAUGGGAGUGUAUUGCACCAGAAGUAGCUAGCUUAACCUUCGGGAGGGCGGUUACCACGGUGUGAUUCAUGACUGGGGUGAAGUCGUAACAAGGUA